UGUGUCAAAUAAAUGUGUAAAAUUGCGUUAUGUCAGACGUGUUUUUGCAGAAACACCUGCCCUCUUAUUUUGCGGUAUAGUUUUGGCAACAUGCGGUAUAGUUUUGGCAACAUGCGGUAUAGUUUUGGCAACAAGCAAAUGGACAUACAUAUGUGACAGAGUAUCCAGAUAAGUUAUGAAAAAUGUGACAGUGGAUACAGAUUUAGACAGUUUUCGUGUGAUAGUGACGAACAACACACUAAGUGUCAUUCUUAUUGGCAUUUUUAUAGCAGUUUUUGUCAUCAGCAUUAUGAUUUUCUGGAUAAAAAAUAGGCAUUCACCGGACAUGACUUUUGAUUCAAAUUGCUUCAGAUUCAGACGAUGUUCCUGUAACUGAAAAAUCUCAUACUUUGGAUGAAGAAUCAACCUAUCAACAAGAUUGUGUAGGAACAAACAGUACACUCCUUAAAGAAUCUGACUUUUGAAAUGCAGAUUUCUUUUUACUGUGACUAAUAUUAAAACUAUUA